ensembl:lncRNA
AGAGGCAUUGAGGCAGCGAGCGCAGAGACGGCUUUAGGGAUAAGUUUUUCUAUUAAAAAAGAUAGGCAUUAGUGUAUUUCUUUAGGGAUUAUAAGUAGUGAGAAUACGGAGAUACUGCUUUGCAUUAAGUUCUUAGAUAAAUUUUAGGGAAAAUAUGAAGACUUAAAGAGUAGUUGGAGAAAGGAAGAGGGAAGAAAAAAGAUAAUUUUAGAACCUGAUGGAGGUUAAGAGCUGAAAUUUUUUCAUGGAGUGAAAAAUUUAAGAGAAUUGAUGAGCUAGGACUGCAAAGUCUGGAUUUUUUUUUUUUAAAGCCUUAACUUGAAGGGCAACCUUUUACCUUAACAUUAAAACGUUGGGUUACGUAAAUCGAACCUAAACGUUUUAAAAGGUUGAGUUGUAGAUGAUUAAAAUACUAUAAAGGCCAUCUUAAGAUUUAACUGAAGGUGGUUUCAGAAAUAAUGCCUUCAAAUUCACGGCACAGUAAAAAUGGCGUCAUUUGAAGCCUGCUUGAUAUUAAGGCUUUGUUUGGCUGAAGUUGACGGAAAUAUUAGGAAUGGUAGGAAAGAAAAUUGGAAGUUUGAAGUGGAAAAUUCGGAAGACAGAAGUACAGGAAGGUGAAGAAAAAACUAGAGAAGAUAGAGACACACGUUUUAGAAGACAAAAAACCUGAGCCUAGUAAGUAGGCAGAAAAAAAGACAAAUCUAGGAGAAAAUUGAAAAUACGGGCGAGUGCUUAAGAUAGAAUGAAAAGAAAGCUAUUGGACGCAAACAUACAAGAUAGACGUCUAAAAAUUUAGAUAGUUCAAAAUCAAUAAUGUUGGAUAAAUUACAGGAACAAAAACUAAGGAAAUUUUUAUAGCCAAUAAGAAUUUAUUGUAAAAGCCCAUCAACUUAUUUCUGGUGGUGCAAAAGUUAGAUCUCAGAAGAUGAGGGUUUUUUUAAAACUGCUGUAGACCAGGACCAACUUAGAAGAAAAUCCGGAAACUAGGAGAGUCAGUUUAAAAUCUCAGCAAAAAGUUACUGAAGGGGACUGAAGUAACUUAAAAGUUAAGAAUGUAUUUGGAAGAGUUAAAAAUCUGAAAGGCCUUAAAUGCGGUAGCGUAGUUUCCUUUGGAAAAUGUAAAGGACUUUAUAAGUGAAUUAAAUUGAAGAGCAAGAAUAACCAUCGAGUUAUUGGACUUUGAGCUAAGAUGAAUGUUUAAAUCCUGAGGACUAGGCGCUAAAUAACAGCUGACGCAGGUGCUACGCAGAAGUGGAUUCAGUGAAGCUAGGAAGACAGGAGCGGCAGACAGGAUUCGGAGUCAGUGUUGGUGAAAACUAGGACUGAGGAGCCAGCGGCAGUUCGUGAAGAUAGGAAAGAGAAGCCCGGGAGCCAGUGCGACUUGGUGAAGGAAGCUAGGAAGAAGGAGCGAGUCCUAACGAUUUGGAGGUGAAGCUAGGAGAGGAUUCCAGGAAGGAGGAAGCCAGUGCGGUGUGGUGAAGCUAGCGUGCGGCUUGGCUUGGCAACCACGCGGAGGCGGCGAGCAGGCAGAGUGGAGGAUAGAUAGAGGAUCCUAGAGCAGCAGCCCAGUGUACGAGCCCUGCAGGGAGAGCCAGUGGUGUGGUAAAAAUCCGUGAAGUCGGCACUAUCGUGGGUUUUUUUUCUCCUGUAACUCAGUAUGGUAAUAUCUCUUAUUAAAUUUUCCUAAUAGUAAUGGGGGAGUUGUGUACUUAAGCAUAAAGGGGAUUUUAUUACGGGGAUGUAGGCCGGUUUUCGGGUGUCGUAGGUUUCUCUUUUUCAGGCCUAUUUUCUCAUGCAUCUUGUCUGGAGCUUUUGAGGGCAGACUUCAAGGCCCGGAGGAAUGGUAGAUGGCAAGUGUUCUUGUUUUUAACCAAUAUGAGGGAUAUCCUGAAUCUGGUAGAACAACUGUGAGACAACUUCAGCAAGCUUUGUAAACAGGUUUUAUAUUCAGUUUGGGGGUAAUGAAGCAUUUCAGUUUUGUGAGUAGAGGGCCUACCUUUAUUUUCUCACCCUGUAUUUUAAAAGUCUUCUAAAUAUGUAGUUUCGGUGUAUAAUUCUGGGCGGGGGGAGUUUUUUUUUGGGGGGGAGCAAAAUAUGUUUUGAGUUCUUUUCCCUUUAGGUCUGCCUAGAAUUCCAAAGGCAAAUGACUCGAGGUAACAGGCGAAAAGAAAAUCCAAUAUCAGGAUAAUCAGAACACUGCAGGUUUACAGUUAUAGAAACUCUAGCACAAGCAGCUUUCACUUUGAGGUCUGUGGCGCAGCUGUCCAUUGGAGUAAUGGCUGGUAGUUUAUUCUUUUUUUCCCCACCCCUUUAUUAAAUAUUUUUAUAAAGUACGUAACUGGUUAUUUUUACUUAAAUAUUUUGGGGGUGGUGUGAACAGGGAAGAGGGUGGGGGAGAAACUUUUUUUUUCUAAGAUUUUCCACAGAUUCUAUAGUACUAUUGACAAACUGAGUUAGAGAAGGAUUGUACUGCUACGCUGUUUGGCACCAACACCUUCAGGGAUUGGAGCAGCUUUUUUCCUUGGAAGAGUAUUCCCAGUGAAGCUGAAAUGUACAGCCCAGUGCAGCUUUGGUUCAUAUUCAGUCAUCUCAGGAGAACUUCAGAAGAGCUUGACUAGGCCAAAUGUUGAAGUUAAGUUUUCAAAUAACGACUUUUAAGAUACCUUUAUUAAAGGGGAGGGGCAAAUUUUGGCGAUUUAUAGUUGGCAGUGGCUUGUGAUGAUUGGGAUGGGGGGGCGUGGGUUUAGGUAAUUGUUUAGUUUUUGAUUACAGAUAAACUCAUGCCAGAGAACUUAAAUACUUAAGGUGGAAAAACUAAAGAAAUCUCAACUUCCAAGUUGGCAACUAACUCGAAAUCCUCUGGUUCUGUUUUGCCCCAAUUUUUGAAUUUAACAGAUGGGAAAGUUGAUGAAGAUUCACUGGAUUUAAAAGAGUAGGGCUUGGGAAAGGAAAAUGACUGGGGGUUGGUCUGGCCCUCUGCGCUGACUUAGAUAAAAACUUGGGGAAUUUUUUUUAAAUGGUAAAGUUCGGAUAUAGUAGUGUGUGGUUCUCUCUUGGAAUAUUUUUCAGGUGAUUUAAUAAAACUUAAUACUACUAUAGGAGCUUCAGAACAAAGGAGGUGGCUUAAUGAUCCUGAAGGGAUUUCUUCUGGUGGUAGCUUUUGUAUUAUCAAGUAAGAUUCUUUUUUCGGCUGUAUAUAAGCAAGAUUGUUUGGUUUAUUCUUUUCUUUUUUAGCGUAGGAAAAGUUUGUUGUUAAGAUAUGCUUCAAAAUUAUUGUUAAUUGUAUUUUGAAUUUACAUCUAAGCCUUGUAAAUCAUAACUGAUAAGAGGGGGUGGGCUUUUGUUGAUGAGGGAGGGGAAACCUUUUUUUUUCUGUAGGCUUUUUU